AAUGUGUGCAGGAAGGAGGACACAUAGGUGCCAAUGAGUAAUUGGUUAAUUUUUUUGGUUAAUUUGUUUGUUACUUAGGGGUGUGGGAUAACGUGAUAGGUUUAGUAAAUUUGAAGGAGGUAACUAGUUCUAGCUAUAUAAUGUAAAUCUAAAACAAUGCUCUUUGGGAAUCAGCUCCGGACUGCAGUACAAUAACAAGCUGCAAAACAUUGUAUCCCCGGCACAACUGGGAUGUGUACGGGAGCUGGGAAGCCCCAGACAAGUGCAUCCUGGCUGGCCAUCUGGUGACAUUUGUAUAUUGGGGCUGGAGGAGCUGGAGCAUCUCAGGUCAACGAGGAGAUCAGCUGGGUGGAGCUGCAGCUGGACGAAGCCAGGACCACAUAUUGCAGGAUCCUCUCUGAGUCCAACAGGAAGCUCAACACCCAGGGCUCCCAGAUCGGGAACUGCGUCGAGAAAGUACAGCCCUACUACGAGGCCCGUCGCCUGGCCAAGGAGGCCCAGCAGGAGAUGUAGAAGAUGGCGCUGCUGUGCGAGCGGGCGGUCAGCAUGCACAAAGCCACUUGUGAGAAGGUCUUCGUGGUGGAGCAGGCCGUCAUGGCCGACAAGAACCGGCUGGACCCCACCUGGCAGGAGACGCUCAACCACGCCACCU